UACGAAGGUGGCAAGCGUUGUUCGGAUUUACUGGGCGUAAAGGGAGCGUAGGUGGUGGGGUAAGCCCCGCGGGAAAGCUCCAGGCUUAACCUGGAAAGGUCGCGGGGGACUGCUCCGCUUGAGGACGGGAGAGGAGCGCGGAAUUCCCGGUGUAGCGGUGAAAUGCGCAGAUAUCAGGAGGAACACCGAUGGCGAAGGCAGGUCUCUGGGCAUUAACUGACGCUGAGGAGCGAAAGCAUGGGGAGCGAACAGG
rnacentral:rRNA from 1 species